UACGUAGGGGGCAAGCGUUGUCCGGAUUUAUUGGGCGUAAAGAGCGUGUAGGCGGCUUUACAGGUCCGUUGUGAAAACUCGAGGCUCAACCUCGAGACGCCGGUGGAAACCGUAAAGCUAGAGUCCGGAAGAGGAGAGUGGAAUUCCUGGUGUAGCGGUGAAAUGCGCAGAUAUCAGGAAGAACACCCGUGGCGAAGGCGGCUCUCUGGGACGGUACUGACGCUGAGACGCGAAAGCGUGGGGAGCGAACAGG
rnacentral:rRNA from 2 species